CACUUCAAAUUUAAGAAAACAUAUAAGUAUUUUCAAAUAUACAAAACAUUCAACCUUGAAGCAAAUAUAAUGUGCAUAAAGCAUAAAAUAGGCAAAACAUCCACACUUGUUGCAAAACAUAGAUAAGGCAAAACUGAAAUUAUCAAAUAAACAUUCAAGUGAAGAUCCUCCGAAUGUUCCAAAUAAAUGUCAAAGAUUGGAGAGAUGGGGCUCUGGGAGCUCAAUAGCUACUCAAAAAGCAGUAGAUAAAGCGAUACUGCGUUUUAUUAUUGAAGAUAUUCAACCUCUUUCUACUGUAGAUAGUCCAGCAUUCAUUAAUUUACUUAGAAUUGGACUUCCUUCACAUAUCCGUAUAAUGUGCAGAAAAACAUUAAGAAACAAAAUUUGUGAAACAUAUCAUAAAAUGAAGGCUGCUCUUGAAAAAAAAUUGACAGAAGUAGAAGUAGUUGCAACUACCGCAGAUUUGUGGAGCAAAACAAAAA